rnacentral:rRNA from 1 species
GACGAACGCUGGCGGCGUGCCUAAUACAUGCAAGUCGAACGAGUUGCGAACGGGUGAGUAUCGCGUAGGUAACUGCAUCAUAGCGGGGGAUAACUAUUGGAAACGAUAUCUAAUACCGCAUACUUUGAGCUGGACCUCCGUUGUAUUAGCUAGUUGGUGAGGUAAAGGCUCACCAAGGCGACGAUACAUAGCCGGCCUGAGCGGGUGAUCGGCCAAACUGGGAAUGGGACACGGCCCCGACCCCUACGGGAGGGAAGAGGAGGGAAUCAGUGGAAAUGGGCGGAAGUCUGAACGAGCCACUGCGCGGGAGGGGAGGAGGGUUUCGGGUCGGAAAACUAUGUUGAGAGAGGAGCGGUAACUAACCAGGAAGGGACGGCUAACUACGUGCCAGCAGCCGCGGUAAUUC